AGGGCACCACCAGGAGUGGAGCCUGCGGCUUAAUUUGACUCAACACGGGGAAACUUACCCGGCCUGGACACUGGAAGGAUUGACAGAUUGAGAGCUCUUUCUUGAUUCAGUGGGUGGUGGUGCAUGGCCGUUCUUAGUUGGUGGAGCGAUCUGUCUGGUUAAUUCCGAUAACGAACGGGACUCUAGCCUAUUAAAUAGGCUCUCGGCUUUUAAACGCCGGGAGGACUUCUUAGAGGGACAGGUGGCGGUUCAGCCGCACGAAAGAGAGCAAUAACAGGUCUGUGAUGCCCUUUGUUGUCCGGGGCCGCACGCGCGCUACACUGAAGAGAUCAGCGUGCUUUACGUUCCUGCUCCGACCGGAGUGGGGAACCCAGUGAACCUUCUUCGUGAUUGGGAUAGAAGAUUGUAAUUAUUCUUCUUGAACGAGGAAUUCCCAGUAAAUGCGAGUCAUAAGCUCGCGUUGAUUACGUCCCUGCCCUUUGUACACACCGCCCGUCGCUACUACCGAUUGAACGAUUU
rnacentral:rRNA from 1 species